AUUGAACGCUGGCGGCAUGCCUUACACAUGCAAGUCGAACGGCAGCGCGGACUUCGGUCUGGCGGCGAGUGGCGAACGGGUGAGUAAUACAUCGGAACGUACCCUGUUGUGGGGGAUAACUAGUCGAAAGAUUAGCUAAUACCGCAUACGACCUGAGGGUGAAAGUGGGGACCGGAAAAGGCCUCAUUCAGCAGGAGCGGCCGAUGUCUGAUUAGCUAGUUGGUGGGGUAAAGGCCCAACAAGGCGACGAUCAGUAGCUGGUCUGAGAGGACGAUCAGCCACACUGGGACUGAGACACGGCCCAGACUCCUACGGGAGGCAGCAGUGGGGAAUUUUGGACAAUGGGGGCAACCCUGAUCCAGCAAUGCAGCGUGUGUGAAGAAGGCCUUCGGGUUGUAAAGCACUUUUGUCCGGAAAGAAAUCGCGCUGGUUAAUACCUGGCGUGGAUGACGGUACCGGAAGAAUAAGCACCGGCUAACUACGUG
rnacentral:rRNA from 1 species